CCGGUAGAAUCGCGCGGUCAUUGGGGAGUAGUCGCCCUCUACCCAGAGGGGCUUGCGUCAACAUACUUGACCGAUUGGUCAUGGCGCAAGCGGUUUCCUAGCUUGGCGAGACCUUUGACCAUAUCGCCUUCGGACUGGCCGGAGAAGCGGUGUGGUCAUUUGUCUUCUUCCGGCCAGGGAGCACC
rnacentral:sRNA from 2 species